rnacentral:rRNA from 1 species
CAAUAGCGCAUGUUAAAGUUGUUGCAGUUAAAAAGCUCGUAGUUGGAUUUGUGGCGUGCGGUGGGUUCCGGGCACUUGUUGUCUGAGUAACUUGCUGUUGCCAUCCUUGGGUGGAACCUGUGUGGCAUUAGGUUGUCGUGCAGGGGAUGCCCAUCAUUUACUGUGAAAAAAUUAGAGUGUUCAAAGCAGGCUUAUGCCGUUGAAUAUAUUAGCAUGGAAUAAUGAGAUAGGACUUUUUUGCUAUUUUGUUGGUUUGCGCAAAGAGGUAAUGAUUAAUAGGGACAGUUGGGGGUAUUCGCAUUCCAUUGUCAGAGGUGAAAUUCUUGGAUUUUUGGAAGACGAACUACUGCGAAAGCAUUUGCCAAGGAUGUUUUCAUUAA